rnacentral:tRNA from 1 species
GCCGGUGUGGUUCAAUGCUUAGAACGUCGGCCCAUGCACUGAAGGGUCACAGGUUCGAUUCCUGGUCAAAGGUA